GUGAUUCUAACAUGCAGCCAGAAUUGAAGGGUUGAGAGCUGAUACCCUCAGGAUCCUGAGAAGUUCUGAGAAGAAUGAGCAAUAAAAAGCCGAGGACUAGCAAAUACAAAUUGGUGCCUCAAAGCAAUAAAUUCAAGGGGAUGAUCAAUGUACUGAGCAGAGUUGAUACGUACGCUGAUAUUCUGGAGUUACUGUGGGAGUACCUGCCACUCAUCUCGCUGCCGCUCACAACACUGCUGGUUUCAGAGAAGAGCUCUGACUCUUGACCAUGGGUUACCUCUUCACCUAGAAAAGAACCACCACAUGCAGAUGAAAGAUUCCCUGCUAACACGCACUUACCUGCAAUGAGAUAAAUGGAUUACAACCAACUAGUAUGUGCUACUGCACCUGGCUUCAUUAACACACUUGGAAGCACACUCAAUCUCUCAAUGUGACAGAUGCGCAUACCCCCUCAGUACUACCAACAAGAAGGCCAUCAGCAAAUGCGGGCCCUUGAUCCUGAACCAGAACUAUGAGCCAAAAAAACCUCUUUUCUUUACAACCCAGUCUACAGGUAAGUGAUACUGUUCUAUUAGCCACAGAAAAUGGACUAGGAGAGAAAGGCAGGGACUAAAUAUACCAGUCAUUCCUUUAUUUCAAGCACUGCUGAGAAGGCCAGGGCCCUACUCAUCUACUCUCACAGACAUCCUCACCCUCUCCUCCACUCAAAGAAAUCAGACCCUGGUACUAACCCUAAUCCCUAGACCCCAAAGCCAGCAACCUGCCUCCACUCUUUCAGGCUGCUUAUACAUUUGGCCUUUU